CCUACGGGAGGCAGCAGUGGGGGAUAUUGCACAAUGGGGGAAACUCUGAUGCAGCGACGCCGCGUGUGGGAAGACGGUCCUCUGGAUUGUAAACCACUGUUCCCAGGGACGAAGACGACGGUACUUGGGGAGGAAGCUUCGGCUAACUACGUGCCAGCAGCCGCGGUAAUACGUAGGUAGCGAGGGUUGUCGGGAAUUACUGGGUGAAAGGGGAGCGUAGGCGGGUCUGCAGGUAGGGGUGCAAGUCUACCGGCGCAACCGGAAGCCGCACUCGAAACCGCAGUUCUUGAGUAAAGUAGAGGCAGGCGGAAUUCCUGGUGUAGCGGUGAAAUGCGUAGAUAUUAGGAAGAACCCC
rnacentral:rRNA from 1 species